rnacentral:rRNA from 2 species
UACGUAUGGGGCAAGCGUUAUCCGGAUUCAUUGGGCGUAAAGCGCGCGUAGGCGGCUUGUUAAGCGAGGAGUGAAAUCUGGGGGCUCAACCCGCAGCUUGCUUCUCGAACUGGCAGGCUUGAGUCUGGUAGAGGAAAGUGGAAUUCCUGGUGUAGCGGUGAAAUGCGCAGAUAUCAGGAGGAACACCAGUGGCGAAGGCGGCUUUCUGGGCCACGACUGACGCUGAGGCGCGAAAGCUAGGGGAGCGAAC